GCCUCAGUGGUCGAAUUGGUGAGACGCCCGCCUAGAGAGUAUGGGAGGUCCAGGUUCAAACCCUGGCUGAGGCA